AUGCCUCAUUACUCACUGGGCCCUCCUGCAGCUCCUGGCAUGGAACUGACACAUAGUUGGCACUGGCAAUGCACAUACUUACUAGAUGUUAAAGAAGUCCAGAACCAGAACCAGAGGCACAUAAAUAGGAUCUGCAUCAGCAGUGGGUUAGAGAAAGGGUGGGAAACUAAGUGAAAUCUUAGAAUGCAUCCAAGGAAGUAGAUCAAUUUGAGCUUUAACUACUGGAGAAUGGCCCCUGAGAAGGCCCCAUUUGUUCACACGUAUAGCUAAUUGUAUAUACCUUUGAGGAAUGCAAGAGCCGGCAGGAAAUUCCCCUCCUCCUGAACCACAGAGUAUUUCUGGGUGGGCAUCGAUUGUCUAUGGGCCAUGGCGUAAGACCCCCACCCCCCGACCCCCCGGCAACAAAAGUAUCUUCUUGCUCCCUAAAAAAAAAUGUAUGGAGACUACAUAUCCUUGCCUGUCUAGUCAGCCUUGGUUAAUUUCAUAAAGUAAAGGGGCCCUGAGCCUGCCUGCCCGGCCGAGUUUAGAGUUGAAAGGGAAACGUCUUUGAGGUGGAAACCAAUUGCAUGGAUCAAAUGGUCCUGAUGGUGCAUAGAGCCUUAGGUUUGGAAAGAAGUGAAGGGCCUUGCCGCCUUGCUGGGGACUUGAGCCUCUCAGCCAUUGGUGCUCUCUGGAGCUGCCCGCCCACCAGGGGCAAUGGCCCUUGUUGGCCUCCAGGCCCCCUCCUUCCCUGGAUGCUGUGCUGUUCUCCUCUUGGUCUUGUUUCAUUGGCUGUGGCAGAAACUUUGGUCCCAACAAGGCCCAGGAAACAGACCCUAGCAAAGACCUGAGGCAACUGGGUGCCCCAGGACCACAGGAACUCAUGUGUGCUGUGAGGGCUUUAAGAGCUUUGAAGUGGGGAGUCUCUGACGUGGAUCAGGGCUAUGGGUGCUGAUGCUGUCAAUAAGCCACACGCAAAGGUUGGGUCAAUAUGACUGCUUCUCAGACCCUCUUCGGAGGCAGACUCUCCCUCACCUGCCUGGCCAAAUUCCCUCUGGGCAGAAGGACCCUAGGGAGCUUUUCCUGGCCCAUGUGGCAGAGGCCCAGGCUCCCACUCAGACAAUGACCCCUUGCUUUGCCCACUGAAAGAAGUCCCCAGAAGAUGAGCUCUGUUACAAGCAGAACAGAAAAGAAACAGUGGGAUUAGGGCUCCAAAAACCCUCCAGAACUAUCAGAGAAUUCUGGACAGUGGUCCCUGAUGGCAUCUGUGUUAGGGGCUGGGAACAAGAACCCCUCUCACAGGCACCUCUACAGGCGGGGUUAAGACUGUCAAAUACUGGCCGAGGCCAAGGGAGACUCUGUCAUGUCUGAGGCCAUAGGCAUGUUUUCUUCUGGACUUCAGCGAGAGGCAGAGCCCCCAGCCCCAUGCAGUCACCUCAGCUCUGCCUGAGAAGAAGCGAGGGAAGCCCAUUCCUCCCCAUCAGUUGGCCUCUGGGGAGGCAAAGUCAAGUAUGUGAUGGUUCCUUACCUGUGCAGGGAAAAUGGAACUUGGGAGUCAGCUGUCUGAAGGCAUCACGCCUUGUAUGACCCUUGCAAGCCCAAGCUACCUACCUGUUCCUGUACAGAAACCCUCCCUGGCCUCAUCCUGUGGGUGGCAAACCCACAUAUUCAGUUAUUGCUGUUUUCUUCCUUCCUUGGAUACUUGUCUCCAAUAAAUAUUUACAGUGGGACCCACAGAUGAACCUUAGCCCCAAACAUAAGAUAGCUAUGUCAAAAGGGGUCCUGGGACAGUGAUACCCCAGGGGGGUCAGGCAAAAACAGAAGCAAGCCUCUUGGCCACCUCCUCCCUUAGCCUUCUGCGUAAAGAUGGACUUGCAGGAGGAGAACACACCCUGCAACUACAGAACCUCAUGCAUCCCCAAAGAACAUUCAAGUCUGAGCCUCAAGGAGCCUCUGCGACUCGGUGUCUAGAUCCAGGAAAUGGAGAAUGAGCCGUGACUUUGGAUGCUUCACUCUUGUCCAUCAGGCUCGGAAUUGGUGAGCAUCUCCCACAUUACCGUCUCCAACGGAACAAGGUGCCCCAUUGGACAUUUCCUCUGCAUGGACCAGCCAUUCUCCAAAUCUGCCCCCAUGUCACCCCAGCUCCCCAUCGCAGUCACUUCUCACUCCUUGUCCCCUGUCCCCCUGAGUGACAGGACUUUUGCCAGUUAGGUCCUGUCCCUGUUUCUGAUCUUGGGUCCAUUCCCCAUGGUCCCUUUCUUGCUUGUGCCUUGGGAUCUCAGGCCUGUUGAAGUAGGAGGCAGGACUCAACUUCAGACCAGAUUGAAGACUGGCUGACACAGAAGAGGCACCAAAAGCACCUCUCUCUCCAUAAGACAUGCCCACCAGUGCCAUGACAGUUUACCAUUGCUAUGGCAAUGCCCAGAAGUUCUCACCCCUUUUCCAGACAUUUCUGCAUAAUCUACCCCUCAAUUGGCAUGUGAUCAAAAGUGGGUGUCAAAAUGACUGUGGAACUGUCCCUGAGCUGCUACUCUUGACAUGCUGGUUACAGGGUAGCCCGGCUCUGCAGGGACAGUCACGGAGCUGAAAAACUGCUGCCUAAUGAAGCUGUUUUCUUCUA
rnacentral:lncRNA from 1 species